CUUCGGUUCACCGAGAAAUGGGAGUGGCGAACGGGUGAGUAACACGUGGGUAACCUACCCAUCAGCGGGGGAUAACACUUGGAAACAGGUGCUAAUACCGCAUAAUUCUUUUCUUCGCCUGGAGGAAAGAUGAAAGACGCUUUUGCGUCACUGAUGGAUGGACCCGCGCUGCAUUAGCUAGUUGGUGGGGUAAUAGCUCACCAAGGCCACGAUGCAUAGCCGACCUGAGAGGGUGAUCGGCCACACUGGGACUGAGACACGGCCCAGACUUCUACGGGAGGCAGCAGUAGGGAAUCUUCGGCAAUGGACGGAAGUCUGACCGAGCAACGCCGCGUGAGUGAAGAAGGUUUUCGGAUCGUAAAACUCUGUUGUUAGAGAAGAAUAAGGAUGAGAGUAGAAUGUUCAUCCCUUGACGGUAUCUAACCAGAAAGCCACGGCUAACUACGUGCCAGCAGCCGCGGUAAUACGUAGGUGGCAAGCGUUGUCCGGAUUUAUUGGGCGUAAAGCGAGCGCAGGCGGUUUCUUAAGUCUGAUGUGAAAGCCCCCGGCUUAACCGGGGAGGGUCAUUGGAAACUGGGAGACUUGAGUGCAGAAGAGGAGAGUGGAAUUCCAUGUGUAGCGGUGAAAUGCGUAGAUAUAUGGAGGAACACCAGUGGCGAAGGCGACUCUCUGGUCUGUAACUGACGCUGA
rnacentral:rRNA from 1 species